AGGUUAGAUCCUAGCUAUCAAAUUGAAUUCCUUCAAGUAUUGUUUAAAGGAGUAGCAAGAGGUUGAUUGUCACAUUCAACACUCGUUUGUUAAAUCGCUCGAACAAAACGAAGUCAUUCUACCAGAUGCAUUAACGCGGGAAAUCCCAUUACGACCGCCAAAUCCCAAUAUACGGUUGAUGGAGUAAUUUAUUGCGAUGACACCAAUUACUACUCCAACUUACCGAAGAUUCUAUUUCGAAAACAACUAUCACGCGCUUUUUACCCUCUGAUGCACUUGUCUCAAGUAAAUUGGGAGCUUGAUAAAAGGCUGGCUAAAGGUUCCUAUAGUGGCCAAAGCACAUAUUAGGAUUUCAGAAAAAGCUCGCGUCGUGUCAACGACGUUGGAGAACCUUUAGCUGAUUUCCAUUCAAAUUCCUCAACCACUUGGUCAUUGUUUUGUUAUUCUACGUCAUCUUCGUCGAUCUCCCGGUUUUAUUCGAGCUACCUGAAACAACAAUGUCGACUUCCAACACUACGGUACCGGUGGUAGGGGCAACACUUGGUCAGUUUCCCAGUCAAUUGGCUGACUUUUCCAUCAUCUUCAGUGCAUUCUCUCAGACAGCACAGCCGCGUUCUCAUCCCAUUCGCCCAUCGCCAAUCAUUUUUUCGACAACUGGUAAAACAAAAUUUCAUGUUUUGAUGCCCAGAAUUUUUAUGUAAAAGGGAUCUAACAAAGCUGUUUGUUAUCCACUGCUCUAAAAAAACGUGGUAUCACCAGCUUGUGGAA